rnacentral:rRNA from 1 species
UACGUAGGGGGCUAGCGUUGUCCGGAAUCAUUGGGCGUAAAGCGCGUGUAGGCGGUCCGGUAAGUCCGCUGUGAAAGUCGGGGGCUCAACCCUCGGAUGCCGGUGGAUACUGUCGGGCUUGAGUACGGAAGAGGCGAGUGGAAUUCCUGGUGUAGCGGUGAAAUGCGUAGAUAUCUGGAGGAACACCGGUGGCGAAGGCGGCAUCCUGGAUCGGCAUUGACGCUGAGGCGCGAAAGCCAGGGGAGCAAACGGG